AUUGAACGCUGGCGGCAGGCCUAACACAUGCAAGUCGGGCGAGCGGCGGACGGGUGAUUAAUGUAUUGGGAUCUGCCUGAUGGAGCGGGAUAACUACUGGAAACGUUGGCUAAUACCGCAUACUACCGGUUGAACCCCUAUGGGAUUAGCUAGUCGGUGGGGUAAAGGCUCACCUAGGCGCCGAUCGCUAGCUGGUCUGAGAGGAUGAUCAGCCACACUGGGACUGAGACACGGCCCAGAAUCCUACGGGGGGCAGCAGUGGGGAAGAUUGCGCAAUGGUGGCAACCCUGACGCAGCCAUGCCGCGGGAAGGAAGAAGGCGGUCGGGUUGUAAAGUUCUGCGUGCGAGGAGGCGUUACUCGCAGAAGAAGCACCGGCUAACUACGUGCCAGCAGCCGCGGUAAUAC
rnacentral:rRNA from 1 species